rnacentral:rRNA from 1 species
UACGUAGGGGGCAAGCGUUGUCCGGAUUCAUUGGGCGUAAAGAGCGUGUAGGCGGCCAGGUAGGUCGGUUGUGAAAACUGGAGGCUCAACCUUCAGAGGUCGACCGAAACCAUCUGGCUAGAGUCCGGGAGAGGAGAGUGGAAUUCCUGGUGUAGCGGUGAAAUGCGCAGAUAUCAGGAAGAACACCCGUGGCGAAAGCGGCUCUCUGGAACGGUACUGACGCUGAGACGCGAAAGCGUGGGGGAGCGAAACAGG